UACAGGGGAUGCAAGCGUUUAUCCGGAAUUAUUGGGCGUAAAGGGUCCUGAGGUGGCUAUCCAAGUCUAUUGUGAAAUAUCAGGGCUUAACCCUGAACAUGCGGUGGAAACUAGAAAGCUUGAGUACAGUAGGGGCGGAGGGAAUUUCCGGUGGAGCGGUGAAAUGCAUAGAUAUCGGGAAGAACACCAACGGGCGAAAGCACUCCGCUGGGCUGAUACUGACACUGACAGACGAAAGCUAGGGUAGCGAAUGGG
rnacentral:rRNA from 1 species